rnacentral:rRNA from 1 species
GAUGAACGCUGGCGGCGUGCCUAAUACAUGCAAGUCGAGCGAACGGACGAGAAGAUUGCUUCUCUGAUGUUAGCGGCGGACGGGUGAGUAACACGUGGAUAACCUACCUAUAAGACUGGGAUAACUUCGGGAAACCGGAGCUAAUACCGGAUGAUAUUUUGCACCGCAUGGUUCAAAAGUGAAAGACGGUCUUGCUGUCACUUAUAGAUGGAUCCGCGCUGCAUUAGCUAGUUGGUAAGGUAACGGCUUACCAAGGCAACGAUGCAUAGCCGACCUGAGAGGGUGGUAGGCCACACGAGAGCGGGGACGCGGUCCAGACUCCUACGGGAGGCAGCAGUAGGGAAUCUUCCGCAAUGGGCGAGAGCCUGACGGAGCAACGCCGCGUGAGUGAUGAAGGUCUUCGGAUCGUAAAACUCUGUUAUUAGGGAAGAACAUAUGUGUAAGUAACUGUGCACAUCUUGACGGUACCUAAUCAGAAAGCCACGGCUAACUACGUG